UCCUGCAUCAGAGCUGGGAGAAUUUAGAUUAAAAAUAAAAAUAGCUUUUGAUCUGCUAGAUAUGCCUACUAUAAAUCAGUUAAGCUUACAUCCAGAAUAAAUACACAAAGAAUAAAUAAGAGCAGGUUGAAUAUAUUGUGAUCUCCCUCCUAGGGGACAAUUUUCAGGAAAAAAGUUGCCUGUUCAUAAUAACCUAGGGUCACUCACUGCUCAGAGCCUUUUAAAGACAUCAGUCGGAUAUACUAGCAGUCAAUUCCCAUAAAAUCAGUUAGCUGGGGGCUAGUCUAACAAAUUAGAGCAAACUUUCAGCUGUGGGAACGGAUUCACAAGAGAUGAAAAGUUUCUCUGAGCAGCUGUAGAUGAAGAUAGGAUCUCCCUGAAUGUGCUUGUGUAGCCAUUCUGACCUCAGCUGCUGCUUUUUGCUCCAGAUUAGGGAACUGUUAUUUGUUGAAGCUGGAAGUGUCACAAGUGGUUCCGGUUCUGUGUGUCCCUACAUGUCUUCUGCAAGGAUUCUUUUGAAGGUCGCUUCACUUCCUGGGGAUCCUUCCAACAGCCCCUCCCCACCAGCUGCUCUAGUCUCCACUGGAGAAAACAACCCCCAGAGGACUAAUCAAGGGGACAGUGCAUGAAAUGCUGUGGCCAUAGUUCUUCCAGCACCCCUUCUGCUUAAGGAAAAGAUGUGUUUAUACCUGACCUGUGCCUAUGAAAGGCCUUGCACAUAGGGACCUUCAGAAGGGAAGUGUUGUGUCAGCCCCAUCCCCUCUGUAAGGCAGGUGCUUUAAAGAGAAUACAGACAUUGGGGAGAGCACAAAUCUCUAUCUUUUGCCAAAUAAUCAUUAUUUCUGAGUAAUCUAAAAGCUAUGAAUUAGAGCUGUGCUGUAGGCGUAACACAUCCCAUGGUGGGAAGCAGGCUUCAGCAGCUGAAAUAGCUGGCUUGUAAAGCCACCUCUGGGAUUUUUCCAGGCUUCUUAAGUGAGCCCUGGGGGUGAGCUGCCCUAGUGCAUGUAUAUGAGUGCUCUUCAAACGACUACUGUGGCUGAGCAGCAGGGAGGGAGGGAGGAAGGGAGGCUGCCUCGGAGCCCUACCUGCUGCUCCCUAAGCCACAUGGAGCCUGUGGGGCAGAAGAUGGCUGGGAUAGGCAGAAAGGG
rnacentral:lncRNA from 1 species